AACGCGAAGAACCUUACCUGGUCUUGACAUCCUCGGAACCUGCCAGAGAUGGCGGGGUGCCCGCAAGGGAGCCGAGAGACAGGUGCUGCAUGGCUGUCGUCAGCUCGUGUCGUGAGAUGUUGGGUUAAGUCCCGCAACGAGCGCAACCCUCGCCUUUAGUUGCCACGCAAGUGGAUCUCUAGAGGGACUGCCGGUGUUAAACCGGAGGAAGGUGGGGAUGACGUCAAGUCCUCAUGGCCUUUAUGACCAGGGCUACACACGUGCUACAAUGGCCGGUACAAAGCGCUGCCAACUCGCGAGAGGGAGCCAAUCGCAUAAAACCGGUCUCAGUUCAGAUUGGAGUCUGCAACUCGACUCCAUGAAGGCGGAAUCGCUAGUAAUCGUAGAUCAGCACGCUACGGUGAAUACGUUCCCGGGCCUUGUACACACCGAGACGUA
rnacentral:rRNA from 1 species